UUUAUGGAGAGUUUGAUCCUGGCUCAGGAUGAAUGCUGGCGGCGUGCCUAACACAUGCAAGUCGAGCGGUAACAGGUCUAGUUUACUAGAUGCUGACGAGCGGCGAACGGCUGAGUAACGCGUAGGAAUGUGCCCCAAAGUGAGGAAUAAGCAUCGGAAACGGUGUCUAAUGCCGCAUAUGAUCUUCGGAUUAAAGGAUUUAUCCGCUUUGGGAGCAGCCUGCGUACGAUUAGAUAGUUGGUGAGGUAAAGGCUCACCAAGUCGACGAUCGUUAGCUGGUCUGAGAGGAUGACCAGCCAGACUGGAACUGAGACACGGUCCAGACUCCUACGGGAGGCAGCAGUGAGGAAUCUUCCACAAUGGGCGAAAGCCUGAUGGAGCAACGCCGCGUGCAGGAUGAAGGCCUUCGGGUUGUAAGGAGUGAAAUCCGUAGAUAUUAGAAGGAACACCAAUGGCGUAGGCAGGUUACUGGACCAUUUCUGACGCUAAGGCACGAAAGCGUGGGGAGCGAACCGGAUUAGAUACCCGGGUAGUCCACGCCGUAAACUAUGGAUACUAGCUGUUGGAGGUAUCGACCCCUUCAGUAGCGAAGCUAACGCGUUAAGUAUCCCGCCUGUGGAGUACGGUCGCAAGACUAAAACAUAAAGGAAUUGACGGGGAUCAGCACAAGCGGUGGAU
rnacentral:rRNA from 1 species